rnacentral:rRNA from 1 species
GACGAACGCUGGCGGCGUGCUUAACACAUGCAAGUCGAACGGUGAUGCUCCAGCUUGCUAGAGUGGAUCAGUGGCGAACGGGUGAGUAACACGUGAGCAACCUGCCCCAGACUCUGGAAUAAGCGCUGGAAACGGCGUCUAAUACUGGAUACGAAACUGGCCCGCAUGGGCAUGGUUUGGAAAGUUUUUCGGUUUGGGAUGGGCUCGCGGCCUAUCAGCUUGUUGGUGAGGUAAUGGCUCACCAAGGCGACGACGGGUAGCCGGCCUGAGAGGGCGACCGGCCACACUGGGACUGAGACACGGCCCAGACUCCUACGGGAGGCAGCAGUGGGGAAUAUUGCACAAUGGGCGAAAGCCUGAUGCAGCGACGCCGCGUGAGGGAUGACGGCCUUCGGGUUGUAAACCUCUUUCAGCAGGGAAGAAGCGAAAGUGACGGUACCUGCAGAAGAAGCACCGGCUAACUACGUG